UACGUAGGGAGCAAGCGUUGUCCGGAAUCAUUGGGCGUAAAGCGCGCGUAGGUGGCCUCAUAAGUCCGCUGUGAAAGUCAAAGGCUCAACCUUUGAAAGCCGGUGGAUACUGUCGGGCUUGAGUACGGAAGAGGCGAGUGGAAUUCCUGGUGUAGCGGUGAAAUGCGCAGAUAUCAGGAGGAACACCAAUUGCGAAGGCAGCUCGCUGGGACGUUACUGACGCUGAGACGCGAAAGCGUGGGGAGCAAACAGG
rnacentral:rRNA from 1 species